rnacentral:rRNA from 1 species
GACGAACGCUGGCGGCGUGCUUAACACAUGCAAGUCGAACGGAAAGGGCCUGCUUUUGUGGGGUGCUCGAGUGGCGAAAGGGUGAGAAACAAGGGGGUAAACUGGCCUUGACUUUGGGAUAACGUCAGGAAACUGGGGGUAAUAACGGAUAGGAGCUCCUGCUGUUAGGUGGGGGUUGGAAAGUUUCGGCGGGUGGGGAUGGACUCGCGGCUUAUCAGCUUGUUGGUGGGGUAGUGGCUUACCAAGGCUUUGACGGGUAGCCGGCCUGAGAGGGUGACCGGCCACAUUGGGACUGAGAUACGGCCCAGACUCCUACGGGAGGCAGCAGUGGGGAAUAUUGCACAAUGGGCGGAAGCCUGAUGCAGCAACGCCGCGUGCUGGAUGACGGCCUUCGGGUUGUAAACCGCUUUCGCCUGUGACGAAGCGUGAGUGACGGUAAUGGGUAAAGAAGCACCGGCUAACUACGUG